GCCAGUGUGGUGUUGUGGUUUGAGCGUUGGACUAGGAGUCUAGAGACCAGGGUUCAAAUCCUGGCUCUGACA